rnacentral:lncRNA from 1 species
CCUUUCUGGCCGGCACAGCUCUGUUUAUACACUCAUUCACUUCAAUAUGAGCAUAUAAUUAAGGAAACAGUUGAUGGAGGGUAUCAAAAUCAUAGAAAGUGCUGUAAGUGAGAAAUUUCCACAACAAAAUUUCAACAAUAGCCUGGGCAUAGAUAAUUCUCAUACUUAUGUCAUUGGCCCAGACCUCCAACCUCACCUUCAGCCAUCAUGAAUUGUCUUAGAGGACAUAAUUUAAAUAAGUGCUUCUCAAAAUAUGGUACUCAGAAGUGCAAACACUAGGUCCUCCCAAGACCUACUGAAUUAGAAACUCUGGUUUGAGGCCCUUCUAUCUGCGCUGUAACAACUCCUCCAGGUGAUUCUGAUGCCCACUGAUGUAUGAGCUGACCCUGAAAGUUAAUGUGUUGAAUCCCACAGUUCGCUUUUCAUUUCCUGUUUUCAUAACCUAUUCUUAUCA